rnacentral:misc_RNA from 1 species
GAUGAAGAACGCAGCGAAAUGCGAUAAGUAAUGUGAAUUGCAGAAUUCAGUGAAUCAUCGAAUCUUUGAACGCACAUUGCGCCCGCCAGCACUCUGGCGGGCAUGCCUGUUCGAGCGUCAUUUCAACCAUCAAGCCCCCGGGCUUGUGUUGGGGACCUGCGGCUGCCGCAGGCCCUGAAAAGCAGUGGCGGGCUCGCUGUCACACCGAGCGUAGUAGAUUUUAUCUCGCUCAGGGCGUGCUGCGGGUUCCGGCCGUUAAACCACCUUCAUAACCCAAGGUUGACCUCGGAUCAGGUAGGAAGACCCGCUGAACUUAAGCAUAUCAAUAAGCGGAGGA